UAGUGUGCUUGCACAUUAUUUUAGUGGCGAACGGGUGAGUAAUGCCUAGGAAUCUGCCCAUUAGCGGGGGAUAACGUGUGGAAACGCACGCUAAUACCGCAUACGCCCUACGGGGGAAAGCAGGGGACUCUUUUAGAGCCUUGCACUAAUGGAUGAGCCUAGGUCGGAUUAGCUAGUUGGUGGGGUAAAGGCCUACCAAGGCGACGAUCUGUAGCGGGUCUGAGAGGAUGAUCCGCCACACUGGAACUGAGACACGGUCCAGACUCCUACGGGAGGCAGCAGUGGGGAAUAUUGGACAAUGGGGGCAACCCUGAUCCAGCCAUGCCGCGUGUGUGAAGAAGGCCUUUUGGUUGUAAAGCACUUUAAGCGAGGAGGAGGCUACCUGUAUUAAUACUAUAGGCUAGUGGACGUUACUCGCAGAAUAAGCACCGGCUAACUCUGUGCCAGCAGCCGCGGUAAUACAGAGGGUGCGAGCGUUAAUCGGAAUUACUGGGCGUAAAGCGCGCGUAGGCGGUUUGUUAAGUCGGAUGUGAAAUCCCCGGGCUCAACCUGGGAAUUGCAUUCGAUACUGGCAAGCUAGAGUAUGGGAGAGGAAGGUAGAAUUCCAGGUGUAGCGGUGAAAUGCGUAGAGAUCUGGAGGAAUACCGAUGGCGAAGGCAGCCUUCUGGCCUAAUACUGACGCUGAGGUGCGAAAGCAUGGGGAGCAAACAGGAUUAGAUACCCUGGUAGUCCAUGCCGUAAACGAUGUCAACUAGCCGUUGGGGGAUUUGAUCCUUUAGUGGCGCAGCUAACGCGAUAAGUUGACCGCCUGGGGAGUACGGUCGCAAGACUAAAACUCAAAUGAAUUGACGGGGGCCCGCACAAGCGGUGGAGCAUGUGGUUUAAUUCGAUGCAACGCGAAGAACCUUACCUGGUCUUGACAUAGU
rnacentral:rRNA from 1 species